GACGAACGCUGGCGGCGUGCUUAACACAUGCAAGUCGAACGAAGUGGCGAACGGGUGAGUAAUACGUGAGUAACCUGCCCUCCUUUUUGGGAUAAGCCUUGGAAACGGGGUCUAAUACCGAAUAAAGGGGGAUGGGCUCGCGGCCUAUCAGCUUGUUGGUGGGGUGAUGGCCUACCAAGGCGGUGACGGGUAGCCGGCCUGAGAGGGUGACCGGCCAGAUGGGGAUCGGGAGACGGCCCAGACUCCGACGGGAGGCAGCAGUGGGGGAUAUUGCACAAUGGGCGAAAACCUGAUGCGGCGACGCCGCGUGGGGGAUGAAGGCUUUCGGGUUGUAAAUCUUUGUCGCGAUCGAACGGGUAGGUGUAGAAGAAGCGCCGGCUAACUACGUGCCAGCAGCCGCGGUAAUAC
rnacentral:rRNA from 1 species